GCUGGGACGGGGUGGGGCGGAAGGGUUAUUGGGGGUUGGGGCAGGGCGGCCCUCUGGGGGAAGUUACCCCCCCAGCCGCGAUCCACCGCGACAGGGCCCUUCCCGUAGCGAUAGGACGAGAGCACAUAGCGUGAAAGCUGCUCUAGGGGCGGUUUAGGUUGGACGCCAGGAGGGAUUUCUUCACAGAAGGGGUUGAACUCGAUGAUCUCAGAGCUCUUUUCCAGCCAAAUGGAUCCCGCGAUUCUGUGUGGUUCCCAGCCCGGGGCUGCGGGCUCUGCAAACAGCGCCGGUGCGUGUGGCGCCCUGUGGAGCGAAAUCCCUUCAAACAGCGAAUCCGAAAGCUCAGGAGCUCGCCGUAACAAUACAGGUCAAUAAAGAAGCAAACACUCAGCGCG